rnacentral:rRNA from 1 species
GAAGGAAAGCAGGGGAUCGCAAGACCUUGCGCUUUUUGGAGCGGCCGAUGUCUGAUUAGCUAGUUGGUGAGGUAAAGGCUUACCAAGGCGUCGAUCAGUAGCUGGUCUGAGAGGACGACCAGCCACACUGGGACUGAGACACGGCCCAGACUCCUACGGGAGGCAGCAGUGGGGAAUUUUGGACAAUGGGGGAAACCCUGAUCCAGCCAUGCCGCGUGAGUGAAGAAGGCCUUCGGGUUGUAAAGCUCUUUCAGCCGGAACGAAACGGUCACGGCUAAUACCUGUGACUACUGACGGUACCGGAAGAAGAAGCACCGGCUAACUACGUGCCAGCAGCCGCGGUAAUACGUAGGGUGCAAGCGUUAAUCGGAAUUACUGGGCGUAAAGCGUGCGCAGGCGGUUUUGUAAGUCAGAUGUGAAAUC